ACCUGGCUGGCUCAGUUGGUAGAGCAUGCAACUCUCGAUCUCAGGGUUGUGAGUUCAAGCCCCAUGUUGGGUG
rnacentral:tRNA from 1 species